rnacentral:rRNA from 1 species
GUGAGGAAUAUUGCGCAAUGGAGGCAACUCUGACGCAGCCAUGCCGCGUGCAGGAAGAAGGCGCUACGCGUUGUAAACUGCUUUUAACCGGGAAGAAACCCCAGGACGUGUCCUGGGUUGACGGUGCCGGAGGAAUAAGCACCGGCUAACUUCGUGCCAGCAGCCGCGGUAAUACGAAGGGUGCAAGCGUUAUCCGGAUUCAUUGGGUUUAAAGGGUGCGUAGGCGGAGCGUUAAGUCAGUGGUGAAAUCCUGCAGCUUAACUGUAGACUUGCCAUUGAUACUGGCGCUCUUGAGUGCGCUUGAAGUGGGCGGAAUGUGCCGUGUAGCGGUGAAAUGCUUAGAUAUGGCACAGAACACCAAUUGCGAAGGCAGCUCACUAAGGCGAUACUGACGCUGAGGCACGAAAGCGUGGGGAUCGAACAGGAUUAGAAACCCGAGUAGUCC